AGCGAACGCUGGCGGCAGGCCUAACACAUGCAAGUCGAGCGGGCGUAGCAAUACGUCAGCGGCAGACGGGAGAGUAACACGUGGGAACGUGCCCUUUGGUUCGGAAUAACUCAGGGAAACUUGAGCUAAUACCGGAUAAGCCCUUCGGGGGAAAGAUUUAUUGCCAUUGGAGCGGCCCGCGUCGGAUUAGCUAGUUGGUGAGGUAAUGGUCCACCACGGCGCAGAUCCGUAGUUGGUCGGAGAGGAUGACCAGCCGCACUGGGACGGAGACACGGCCCAGACACCUACGGGAGGCAGCAUUGGGUAAGAUUGGACAAUGGGCGCAAGCCUGAUCCAGCCAUGCCGCGUGGAUGAUGAAGGCGCUAGGGUUGUAAAGUCCUUUUAACGGGGAAGAUAAUGACGGUACCCGUAGGAUAAGCCCCGGCUAACUUCGUGCCAGCAGCCGCAGUAA
rnacentral:rRNA from 1 species